rnacentral:rRNA from 1 species
CCUACGGGGGGCUGCAGUGGGGAAUAUUGCACAAUGGGGGAAACCCUGAUGCAGCGACGCCGCGUGGAGGAAGAAGGUCUUCGGAUUGUAAACUCCUGUCCCAGGGGACGAUAAUGACGGUACCCUGGGAGGAAGCACCGGCUAACUACGUGCCAGCAGCCGCGGUAAAACGUAGGGUGCAAGCGUUGUCCGGAAUUACUGGGUGUAAAGGGAGCGCAGGCGGAUUGGUAAGUUGGGAGUGAAAACUAUGGGCUCAACCCAUAAAUUGCUUUCAAAACUACCAGUCUUGAGUGGUGUAGAGGUAGGCGGAAUUCCCGGUGUAGCGGUGGAAUGCGUAGAUAUCGGGAGGAACACCAGUGGCGAAGGCGGCCUACUGGGCACUAACUGACGCUGAGGCUCGAAAGCGUGGGUAGCAAACAGGCUUAGAUACCCGGGUAGUC